ensembl:ncRNA lncRNA:iab8 long non-coding RNA:iab8
AAAUAUUAUUUUUUGGACACUUUGCCAUCAGGUCGACGUCGCGUCGCCCGGAGCUCAAACGACGAUUACUUGCUGCCACUCGUCCUGCUCCCCGUUCGGUGGGCAUUGUCCUGCGGAGCUCCUGGAGUUCCUGGAGUCGCAUUCGAAGUCUGACUGUGGGUCCCGGAGCCACGGCCUUUGUCUUCGGUGGCGGCGGCGUUGCACCAAUUGUGCACCAAUCCGACAACAAAAGCCAAAAACGCUGCAGAUGGGAACCCAAAAGUAUACGAGAAGUCUACCCAAAGUAUAUAAAGAAAAUGAAAGAAGUGGCUGUAAAUCAAAAAGAGCCGGUUCGGCAUCGUUUGUUGCCAAAAAUACCAAAAUUAAUUAUAAUAAUGACAAAGAACAAGCACUUUGACCCCGCGUCCGCAUCCGCAUUCGAAUCCGCAUCCGCGCGCGUUCGGUUGGCCAAUUGUGAAUGUGGAUUACAAAUUCGCGUGUGCGACUUGAGAAAAAUAUUGGAUAUGAAAAGCCUGGACAAAAAUGUAUUUACCAGCAUUUCCGCCUUGCGGUUUGGCAGCUGAAGGGACAGUGGUGUAGCUUUUGGACCGGCUCCCUUGAGUUUGCGGGGCGUGACUUCAAUUAAAGUGAUUUGUGGCCUCCGCUUCUGACACACGAGACGUAAAUAGCGGCCCUGAAUUAUGGUGCUGCUAAAAUAUGUAUACUAGAGCAUAGUCCUCGGCCCACCGGAGGAACGGAAACCGCCUCAAAGUUUGCUAAUUGAAGAGCUCCUUACUUAUUAUGUCUCCGCCCCGAAAAUGCCCAACAAAAUGCCGUCGGCGGAAUCGAAAAUGUCGGCAAUUCGGAUUCCCGGCGAAGAGGCAGUGGAUUUAAUGGAGCCCCAUGAUGGCCGAGCUGAAAAUGAAGAAGAAGAGGCGAGACAGCGGCAGCCAUCAUGGAUGUGAAAGAGAGCGUGCUCUUGGCCUCUCUCGCUCGCGCUCGUGCCUACGACAGUGCGGUAUUCCACAGCGGCCAUGCUCGCUCCAUGCUGCUCUGCUCGCCACUCACCUGCGACGUCGUCUGUUGUGAAGUUCUUGCGACGUGAGCGACCGAAACUCGGGGCCCCGAAAAACUAGAGGCCCAAAAAACAGGAUUGUGAGCGAGCGAGGGAGCGGAGGAAUUUCGAGGGACUUUCUGCGACUGCGUCGUCGCCCAGACAAAAACAAAAAAAAUGCAGAAACAAAGGCCGACGGACGAAGGAAGUUGCCCAGGUUUGAUUACACAUCGACCCCUGGAGCGAGGACUUAACCCGACGGCAGCUGCAUCAGUUUCAGUUCUCCGAGGGACAUGUAGAUGGAUACUCUGGGCCCUCAUCUGCGUCUUCGCGUGUGUUUGUGUGUUUUUAUAACAUUUGUGGAUUACGCCUAUAAAAACUACACUUCACCGCGAAGCCAGCGAAGUGGGCACCAGCUACAACAAAGGACAACAAUUAUUCUGCAAAAAUGAUACAACCUGUCGCUCGAGAGAUUACAAACGGAGCUGCUUUUAUGGUUUGUUCCGCUUUUGUUUAACGAUUCCGAGGAUCACACGUAAUAACCCACGCAAUCCACCACCGAAGUCGGAAAACCGACUCAACGGAACGCAGCGCAACUUGACUCAACCGAAACUCGACACUUAUCCCUGGGAACUCAAAAUAGUGUUUUAUUGUUGGAAAUUACGAUUCUUUUAUUUAUUUACUUUUUCUGCAUUUCUUUGCCGCCCCACACACACCCACCGUUUCAAUUUUUAUAUGUUUAUUACGGUUAUUAUCGCUUAAUGGGGCUCGCUCGCUGGUUAUUGCUGUUGUUGUGUUGCUUGCACCAGUAGUUGUGUCAGACUAACGUGUGAAGUUGUUUUAUUAUUUGUUUUGAUUAUCAAAAUGGGCGUUUUACAUUUUUCCGGUCGUUGGGCGGCCCACCUGCCACGGGCCCACCGCUUAUAGUCCACAUCCCAUAACCCCGGGGCAAGGGCAGUAAAUCACGGCCCGCUGUGAGUGGCUGAGUACCUGGGCAGCAGUACACUUGAAAAAUAAUAACCCUUCUCUUUUAAAAUAUUGGACGGCUAGACAUAAUAUUCAAUUACAAAUACAUCACAGCAAUAAACCAUUUUUCGGGCUUCUAUAACAAGUUGAAUUAACCUAAAGAACUUUUUAAUUUAUUUAAAAACCAUUUUGAAUUUAUUUAGUUAAAUUUAGUUACUUAAAAUGUUCCAUCAUGUAUAAAUUAGUAAUAUGUCAUAAAAAUAGUUUAAUUCAAUACUAUUUCGUUACAAUAAUACGAAUUUUGCAUCAUCAAAGGUUAUACAAAAUAAAAUUACCAGUUAUAUUUUCAGUGCAUGAGUAAAUCCACUCAUUCGCACUCGCUGUAUGACCCAUAAGCAGAAACCAAAGUGUGGCAAAAUGCUUAAUUUAGAAUUUAUGAGCAAUUAAUUUUAAAGCGCUCUCUGGCCAUUAACGCCGUUACUGCUUCUCCCCCUUGACCGUAAUACACCUUUGGUCAUUAAAGAAUUAAGAAGCCAGUGUGCCAAAAAUUGAUUGUUUAGCCAAUCCGCUGAUGGAUCAAUUAUUCAAUUGUUAUAGCCAAAGAGUUGGCAAUCCAAUUUGAGCACGAGUCGUAUUCCAACAAAUAGACAGGUAGGAAGCACAUUAACUGGUAGAUUUAUGAAUAAGAAAUAAUUUAAAUAAAUUUGUUAUGCUUUAGAAAUUGUUUAUUAAGGUUAAUUUAUGAGUGUUAAAUGGCUAAAAAUUAUUUAAUUGAAGGAUAAGAAAAUGUUGUGAUGUGGUAUGAUUUAAAUAAAAAAUACAAAAAUAAAUAUAGAAAAACU